AUAAUGAAUAAAGAAUAAUGAGUAAAGAAACAUAGAAAGAGUUACAGAGAGCAAACGUGAGAAAGAAAGAAGGAAAGAAAGAAAGAAAUAGAAAAGGGAAAUUUGAGGAUUAAGGCCCUAAAGUUUAAUUGGCUAGGUACGAAAGUAUAAGGACUCAGCAUACAAGCCGAUCCCCAAACUCAAAUUGGUGAAGUUUCUAUCUUUUUGGAAAAUGGCAUUGUACCUAGGAUGUCUUUAAGUUAUUUUGAAAGUAUCUAAGUUGUUAAAUGAUAUUUUGGUAUGUUUUGUAAAUGUUACCAAAACCUUAAGUAUGGUAUGUUUUGAUAUGUUAGUGAAGAGUAAUAAGAGGAAUUGUUGGUAAA